rnacentral:rRNA from 1 species
UACGGGGGGAGCAAACGUUGUUCGGAAUCACUGGGCGUAAAGGGCGUGUAGGCGGCUGAAUAAGUGGGAUGUUAAAUCCCCCGGCUCAACCGGGGACCUGCAUCUCAUACUGUUCAGCUCGAGCACAUCAGAGGAGACUGGAAUUCCCGGUGUAGCGGUGAAAUGCGUAGAUAUCAAGAGGAACACCUGCGGCGAAGGCGGGUUGCUGGGCCGACACUGACACUGAGAGACGAAAGCUAGGGGAGCGAAUGGG